rnacentral:rRNA from 1 species
GGUGGACGCUGGCGGCGUGCCUAAUACAUGCAAGUCGAGCGAAUGGAUUAAGAGCUUGCUCUUAUGAAGUUAGCGGCGGACGGGUGAGUAACACGUGGGUAACCUGCCCAUAAGACUGGGAUAACUCCGGGAAACCGGGGCUAAUACCGGAUAACAUUUUGAACCGCAUGGUUCAAAAUUGAAAGGCGGCUUCGGCUGUCACUUAUGGAUGGACCCGCGUCGCAUUAGCUAGUUGGUGAGGUAACGGCUCACCAAGGCAACGAUGCGUAGCCGACCUGAGAGGGUGAUCGGCAACACUGGGACUGGGACACGGCCCAGACUCCUACGGGAGGCAGCAGUAGGAAAUCUUCCGCAAUGGACGAAAGUCUGACGGAGCAACGCCGCGUGAGUGAUGAAGGCUUUCGGGUCGUAAAACUCUGUUGUUAGGGAAGAACAAGUGCUAGUUGAAUAAGCUGGCACCUUGACGGUACCUAACCAGAAAGCCACGGCUAACUACGUGCCAGCCGCCGCCGUAA